rnacentral:lncRNA from 1 species
CCCAGCCCUCCCUCCUGCUCACUGUCCGGCUGCGUUAACCCUUGCUGUUUGGGGGUCCCAGGGGCACACCCUGGCACUGGGCAAAGCCUGACUGCUUUUUUUACCCCUCGCCCAGGGGCAGAGGGGCAGGAGAGGAGAGCUGGGCACCCUGCAAGCACAAAGGCUCCUUCCUGGAGCAGGGCGGGCGAGAGUGGCUCCCUGGCACACAUCCAGCCAUCUCCCCUCUGCGCUCACCUUUGGAGCUGAUGGGAAGGUGUAUGCACCGACUCUCCUCUCCCUGAGGGUCCCUAGACCCCCCCCCCAGCUAAUCAGGCAGCCCAUGGGGGUCCCUGCCCCACUCGCACAGGGGUACAGCAUGCAGGAUCAGACCCUGCUCGCUCAAACUCCCCCCUUCCUCCCCAAACUCAGAGCCCUGACCUCUUCCUCCCCUACUCCCUGCAGCCCAGGCUGCCGUGCAACUAUAAUAAUUUCCUUCUCCCUCCUUUUUUUUUUUUUUUGCUUAAACCGUGAAGAUCUGAACUUGCUCCCCCCGCCCCAUCCUCGGCUUCCCCUUCCCCCUCCUCCUCCCCUUGUCUCUCCUCAUAAUAUUAUCCUUGAUCACUGCCCGGGGUUUGAAGCCCAGAAGUCAGAAGCUGUGCAUCCCCACCCCCACCAGCUCCAGUGUGCACUGAUAGGGCCCUCGCUGCUGGCACCUAGUCAAGCUGAGGUGUCAUUGGGAUCUCAAAUUGCAGCUAGGGGCUGGCAGGCAGCCAGAGGCAGUCUAUUUAAAAGACAGCCUGUUCUGCAGUAUUCAGUCUCUUUAGAAACUUCUCCAGGGGAAAAGUGUUGGGAGAUCUACAAAGUGGAUUUUUUUUUCUCUCUCUUUUCUUUUUUUUUUUUUCCCCCCUUCCCCCUGAUUUUUACCGCUCCUCUGCAGGCUUUGCAACAAAACACUCCAACUUUGCAGAAAACUUUUUCUCUUUUUGCCUUUUUUUUGGCUUUUUUUUUCCCUGCCUUUUUUUUUUUUUUUUUUUUCCUUUGCAAAUCUUGGAAGAGGAAAGCGGGAGGGUUGAACAGAGCCGAUCGAAACACAACUUUGCUUCAUACCAAGCUUCCCAGCAGUUCGCUGCGUCGGGAGAGACUUCUUCUCCUCUUGCAGAAGAAGAGAGAGGGAAGGGGAGCUUUGCAUCCCCUCUUCCUUCUCCUGCGGGUUUUUUUUUUUCUCCCCCCUCCCUCUUGCCUGCUUUGAUGCACUAAUAGCAGGACACUGGUUUUCAAGGAACUUUGCUCCCUUCCCAACCUGCCUCCUCCCAGAGUGUGUGUGAGUGCGUGUGCGUGUGUGAAAUCGCCGUCCCACCUCCCCAUACCCCCCUGCUCCCCCCCCCCCCCC